UCUCUCUCUUCUCCAACGCAACGGUCGAAACACGGCGGCCGCCGAGAUCCCCGCCGCCUCCACCGGAGAGAGCCGGGGCACGCGCGCCUACCCUAGAGAGGGGUGGGUGUGUUGGGUCCGCAGGAGAGCGGAGUGCGCACCUGCUCGUACGACGGCGCAGCCAUCCCGCGCUCCUCGGCUCCCGCUUCGACGCCGACAAGGUCGCCCAUCUCUUCCCGCAGGAAAUACCAGUAGCCGGGCAGACAGAGAAGAUCACCUGAGUAUACUAUAUUGGACCAUGAACUGAAUGAUGCUAGAAAUGAAUUAGCUUCGAUGCUUGGCAAUAUACUAGUUUUUGCCAAGACUACCCCACUAAACGAAAAAAGUUACGUUGUCCGCUGCCGAAUGAAAUGCUAACAGCAAAAAUGGAAAACUACAGUGGCCACGCCAAGCAUAUAUAACAUUGGGGAGGAAAGCACCCCGCAUCAGGAUCACAUAAAGGAGUUAAAACGAUCAAAAAAGUCAUGUUCCCGAAGUUCACUUCCAGUUUCUUUCUCCAUAAUCUUCUGAUUGAAUUUAUGCAUUGAAGUUGAAUGAGAUGUUGGUUGACACGCACUGUAAGAUCGUGCUAGCUCUAUGUCUGCUAUGAAAUGUGUACUGCUUGGAAAUCUUGCUGCUACUAUGUAUCCCCUCAAACUAAAUGAAUGAUACUGCUCAGCUUUGACUUCAUGAAUGAGGAAUCUUGGUCAUUGCUCUA